CCUACACGGAGCCAGAUUCUGUGCGAGAACGGCUGGUGGCCAAGCUGGCAGACACCGUGAGGACGCGCUUGGCCCAGGUGGGGCUGGUCCAGACUCACACCCUGACUUCGGCUCCGGGAAGACUCCAGGCUCCAGGUGGGGCCAGCCAGGCGGAGGGGACCCCAGCAAAGGCAGGAAGCAGCACCGCAGGUGCCCAGCACAGAUCUUCCAGUGGGUGGGAAGAUGAAGAGUUUGAGGAGGGCCACCAGAAGAAAAAAGAGGAGAGGUCGGCAAACGUUCCGGUGAGGGCUGGGCCGGGAAGACCAGAGCGUGAGUCGAUGUAGAGUAUUCCUGGCGGUGCCUCUCCUUACUGCAAAUAUGGCACUCCCACCCCCACCCGCCUGCCUCCGCUUCUUAUGCCCAUCCCACCAUCCCGCCUUCCUGUUGUCAUUUCUUUGAGGCCUGGCACAACCUCGCGCCACCCCUGACCCUGGCUGUCCCAGUUCACAAGUCCCCAACAGCCCUCCCAUGAUUUCUGCUUGUCUCUCAAGGCCCUGGACCAUUUUCCCUGAACCCUUCCAGAACUCCCUCUUCCUUCCUGCUCUCAUGGCUUUCCUAACUUCUAGAACUUUGCAUCUUGGACCCCAGGGUUUUGUUGAAAGCCUACUCUGUGCCCAACACAGCGCUGGGUGCUGUUGGUAAACCCCAGCUCACUACUUAAUAGCAUCUCCCACAAAGACUUGCAACUCAGGGAGCAGAGUUCUUUGCUACUUGUUGAGCUGACCUGAAUUUACCGAUGUCUCCUUUUCAGUGUGUUUCCUUCCAGGCACAGUGAAUCAUUCGCACCAUCUAGCUUCUAGUUGCCCCACGUUUACCAAGCACACGCCCUGCAGAGGGACAGUCCUCGGCAAAGCCUCCAUCUAUAGUGAGCAGUGCAUCC
rnacentral:sRNA from 1 species